UCCGUAGGCGGGCAAUUAAGUCAGAGGUGAAAUCCCACAGCUCAACUGUGGAACUGCCUUUGAUACUGGUUGUCUUGAGUUACAGUGAAGUAGAUAGAAUAUGUAGUGUAGCGGUGAAAUGCAUAGAUAUUACAUAGAAUACCGAUUGCGAAGGCAGUCUACUAACUGUAUACUGACGCUAAUAGACGAAAGCGUGGGGAGCGAACAGGAUUAGAUACCCUGGUAGUCC
rnacentral:rRNA from 1 species